CCACCCAGCUCCAGCUGAUCUUUUUACAUCUAUGCGCCGCAGCUUCUGGCGCGAUGACGAUGACGUCAUCGCGUCUUUUCGACGCGACACGCCCACGUCAGUAUGCCUAUUUAAGUGUGCUCCAGCCGUCCUCUCGGCGUGGAGCACAGGCUGCUACCUCCCCGGGACACACACUACUUCGUAGGCUUCAAGGUAAAACUUUAUUCUGAUCUCCGCUUACUUGCUAUUUUUAUCCGCUGUGCAUACUGGUUACUAUGGCUAUUUUAUACACAGGUCUCUAAAGCCUUCUGAUCUGCCCUUUAUUGUGGACAGUACAGUGGGGUCACCUAGCGACGGAAUCUAUUUUCCCUCAAGGUCUUUUCCACCUGUUUUCUGCCUUGCUGGUCCCGGUUGUUGCCUUUUAUACUACCCUUGAGAAUCUAAUAGUACUGUGGCUUCCCAUACCAUCAGGAGAUCGUUUCUUUCUCCUUGUUACCCGGCUAACGCACUUAUUUUUGGCACUACCCCAAUGAUGUGUGAUGGAUGCGGAUGACCACCAACUCAAUUGGUACUAUAUUUGGCUUCAUUGCAUGCUGACUCUCAAUAUUUUAUUAGAUUAUGUCUUUAUGUUAUCUGUAUGUUAUAAAUGUAUAAUUCUCUUUCAGACACAUACAAGUAGCAAUACUUCCAUGUUAUAAAACCAUACAACUCGUCCAGAAGAAGCCGCAAGGCGAAACGCGUCGGCGAGACGUUUUAUUGCUCAAAUAUGUAUCUAUGUUCUCUUUUUUGAUAACAUUUUUUAAUAAGAAAUUUAUUUGUAUAC